CAGGGCGUAGCUCAGUCUGCGCGAGAGCGCCCGCCUUGGGAGCGGGAGGUCGCAGGUUCAAAUCCUGCCGCCCUGACCA
rnacentral:tRNA from 2 species